UGAAAGAGAACAUAGCCAUACCAUGUUUUAAGAAAUCAAUAUUUGUUUCUAUGCAGGUACACAGCACAUUGUUGAAGGCUGUAUGUUUCUUUGUGGAUAUGCGAUGUAUUAUUUAUGUCAGUUACGUUUUGAUAUUUUACCAUGUUGUACCAUUUAAUCUAUCACAUGUUUGAGCCCAUUAUGACUGUUUGGUAUU